UACGUAGGUGGCAAGCGUUAUCCGGAUUUAUUGGGUGUAAAGGGCGUGUAGGUGGGAGCGCAAGUCAGAUGUGAAAACUUAGGGCUCAACCCUGAGCCUGCAUUUGAAACUGUGUUUCUUGAGUGCUGGAGAGGCAAUCGGAAUUCCGUGUGUAGCGGUGAAACGCGAAGAUAUACGGAGGAACACCAGUGGCGAAGGCGGAUUGCUGGACAGUAACUGACGCUGAGGCGCGAAAGCGUGGGGAGCAAACAGG
rnacentral:rRNA from 1 species